rnacentral:rRNA from 1 species
UACGUAGGGUGCAAGCGUUAAUCGGAAUUACUGGGCGUAAAGCGUGCGCAGGCGGUUGUGUAAGACAGAUGUGAAAUCCCCGGGCUCAACCUGGGAACUGCAUUUGUGACUGCACGGCUGGAGUGCGGCAGGGGGGGAUGGAAUUCCGCGUGUAGCAGUGAAAUGCGUAGAUAUGCGGAGGAACACCGAUGGCGAAGGCAAUCCCCUGGGCCUGCACUGACGCUCAUGCACGAAAGCGUGGGGAGCAAACAGG